rnacentral:lncRNA from 1 species
UUAGAGCCGUGGCGCUUAACUUGUUUAGUAGGCGCGUGUGCUCCACGUUCCUAGGAGAAUUUGAAGUUUAAAUGAUUAUUUUGAUUCCUAUUUAUAGCUUAUGCUUGAUUAUUCAAUUUCGGAGGGUUUCAAACUCCUAAAGGUUGGCAUCGAAUUGGUUUACACUGAUUUUUUAUGGGUUGGAUACUUUUGUUAAUAGAUAUUAGUAGGAGACUAAUAGAAUGAUGAUCAUUUUCAUUAUCAUCAGUUGGUUGAGGUAGAAUACUACGUAGAGAAAAUAAGGGUUUUGAGAGUUCAAUUUGAGAUGAAAGUGGGAGUUGAAAAAGGAGGCAAAAUUCACUUGAGUUUUAUUCUCUUCUUUUACUCUUAUAUCUUGUAUUUAGAAUGACU